CCUACGGGAGGCAGCAGUGGGGAAUAUUGCACAAUGGGGGAAACCCUGAUGCAGCGACGCCGCGUGAGUGAAGAAGUAUUUCGGUAUGUAAAGCUCUAUCAGCAGGGAAGAAGAAAGACGGUACCUGACUAAGAAGCCCCGGCUAACUACGUGCCAGCAGCCGCGGUAAUACGUAGGGGGCAAGCGUUAUCCGGAUUUACUGGGUGUAAAGGGAGCGUAGACGGCUGUGCAAGUCUGAAGUGAAAGCCCAGGGCUCAACCCUGGGACUGCUUUGGAAACUGUGGAGCUAGAGUGCUGGAGAGGUAAGUGGAAUUCCUAGUGUAGCGGUGAAAUGCGUAGAUAUUAGGAGGAACACCAGUGGCGAAGGCGACUUACUGGACAGUAACUGACGUUGAGGCUCGAAAGCGUGGGGAGCAAACAGGAUUAGAUACCCUAGUAGUUC
rnacentral:rRNA from 1 species